rnacentral:sRNA from 1 species
UAUUUAAAAUAUUUGUGGCCAUCAAGUUUUGUGGAUUCUGUAAAAUUCAGUUUCAAGAAAACAUAAAAUUUGUGGGCUAUAAUCUGAUAAAAUUAAUUUUUUGGAAAAUGCACUUUGGCAAUUAACAUUAUACUUCAUUGAUCAACUCAAAAACGAAGUCUGUGAAAAUUGACAUUAAACUAAAAUUGAUGGAACCACAGUAUAGAUAGAACUUCCACACUUGUUUGCUGUAGAUAUAAUAUUUUGUUUCUGGUUAAAAUAUGCAAUAUUUUGUUACAAGUACAAUUCUUUUUCGUUGUAGUAACCAUAUUUUAUUUGCGAGUUAUACUUAUGGAAAUCAAAGUCAAUAAAAAUUGAAAUUGUUUC